GACGAACGCUGGCGGCGUGCUUAACACAUGCAAGUCGAACGGAAAGGCCUGCUUUCCCUUGUGGAUUGCGGGUGCUCGAGUAGCGAACGGGUGAGUAACACGUGAGUGAUCUGCCCCCAACUUGGGUAUAAGCCUGGGAAACUGGGUCUAAUUCCCGAUAGGACUGCAGGGUGGUGCCUGUGGUGGAAAACGAUUUUCUAGUGGUUGGGGAUGAGCUCGCGGCCUAUCAGCUUGUUGGUGGGGUAAUGGCCUACCAAGGCGGCGACGGGUAGCCGGCCUGAGAGGGUGGACGGCCACAUUGGGACUGAGAUACGGCCCAGACUCCUACGGGAGGCAGCAGUGGGGAAUAUUGCACAAUGGGCGGAAGCCUGAUGCAGCGACGCCGCGUGGGGGAUGACGGCCUUCGGGUUGUAAACUCCUUUCGACCGCGAGGAAGCCACCUGGUUGGAAGGGUGGUGACGGUAGUGGUAGAAGAAGCACCGGCUAACUACGUG
rnacentral:rRNA from 1 species